rnacentral:rRNA from 1 species
UCCUACGGGAGGCAGCAGUGGGGAAUUUUCCGCAAUGGGCGAAAGCCUGACGGAGCAACGCCGCGUGCGGGAGGAAGGUUUUAGGACUGUAAACCGCUUUUCUCAGGGAAGAAGAAAGUGACGGUACUUGAGGAAUAAGCAUCGGCUAACUCCGUGCCAGCAGCCGCGGUAAU